UUCAUGUGGACCAUUUUAAAAAACGAUACUUUAUUGAAUUUCUUACAAUAUUGCUUCUGUUUCAUGUUUUGUUUUUUUGACUGCAAGACAUGUGGAAUCUUAGCUCCCUGACCAGGGAUUGAACCCAUAUUCCUGCAUUAGAAGGUGAAGUCUUAACCACUCGUCCACCAGGGGAGUCCCCCUCUCUCUCUCUUAGAUUGAGUAUUGAUUAAAAGUUGUUGACCAGGCCCUCGAUGACUUGUUCCCAGAUUCUUGUUCUUUGUUUCAGAGCCCAAGUUUGUCUCUCAUCCUGGGCGCUGUUCACGGACACACUCUGUACUUGCCCUCUGGUCGUGCCCCUGCUCAUCCCUGACCUGCCCUUUGCCCCAGGGCCCAUCUGCUGAAAUUCCACCAGGGUUCUGUCCCUUCUGGUUCCACAUGGCAAGUGUUUUUUUUUUUUUUUAAUUGUAAAAUGCAGAUAAUAUAAAAUUUAUCAUCUUAACUGUUUUGUGGCUCACCAAGGGACUGAAAUUGCCCCUUUUGUCGGGAACAGUAACUUUAGGGCAAAAUUUAGAGCAAACCUCAGUUUUUCUCACCCUUUCAUUUAAAAUAAAUCUGGGUACCAUGAAACUUCCUGAGGAACAGUACAGAAUUACAACACAACGCUGCUGUGCAGAGAUGACUAGCCUGGUGUUUCCAGUCAACCUUGGUCUAGUGGAUCAAACACAAACCGCAGGAGAGGCUGGAAAAUUCCUGCUUGGUAUUUCUUCCCUGAGGACUCAGAAAAUACUGCCACUGCUGUGUCCUAAAUACAGAGAAUGUUUUCUUGGACUGGGGUUUUCCCAGCAUGCCCAGGUAAUAAUACACUAUUCCAGAUGGACUUCUCUGAAUCCGUCUGAAUAUUCAAGAUGACAUAUACUAGUGAUUUAGGCAUGAUUUUAACUGAUACUAAUAGGCAAAGCCUGGGUUUCAUGGCUUUAUAUCAGUGUUUUGAAUUCCUCAGCUUUUCCUAGUUAAACCGCCUGUCUUCGUGGCAUGAGGCUGUGCACCCAUGCAGAGCCCCAUGCCUAGCACAGCCCUGUGCCUGGUUUAAUGCCCCGCUUUCAUCNNNNNNNNNNNNNNNNNNNNNUCUGAACAUGUUUAUUUGGGACUGGUACCACACAUUAUGUAACUGGUCCUGCCUGCUGUGGUAGAUCUGAGGUACAGCUUGAGAUUUUGCAUUUCUGGCUGAAUCCCAGGUGAUGACCGUUUUACAGCUUGUUCUGUUCUCAGUUUAUUUAGGCUUAAAUUAACUUUCUCUGGAGAAAGAACUUUCUGUGAGGGGUGCCUAGGGACUUGACUCCAAAUGGAUCAAACACAAGCUCAGGCUCUCUGGUUCCUCUCUUCCAGGGAUACCGGGUGAUGAUUGGAAUAGCUUUUAUUAUUGUUUUAGUUGAGAUAUCAUUAGCAUAUAGCAUGACAUUAGUUUCAGGUGUACAGUGCAAUGAUUUGAUAUUUGUAUAUAUUGUGCAAUGAUCAUCAAGAUAAGUCUAGUUACCACCCAUCACCAUACACAAUGACAAUUUUUUUGUGUGUGAUGACAACUUUGACAUACUUACAUGUGGAAUCUAAAAAAUAAAAUAAACCUGAGUAUAACAAAAAAGACUCACAGUUAAAGAGAACAAAUUAGUGAUUACCAGUAGGGAGAGAGAAGGGAGGAAAGGGCAUGAUAGCAGUAGAGGAUUGAGAGGUACAAACUACUCUGUAGGAAAUAAGCUAUAAGGAUGCACAGGAAAUAGAGCCAGUAUUUUAUAAUGACUAUAAAUGGCAUAUACUUUUUAAAAAUUGUGAAUCUCUGUGUUGGACAUCUGAAACUUAUGAAAUAUUAUACAUCAAUUAUACCUCAAUUUAAAAAUAUAAAAAUAAAAUAUCCAUUCACCCCUGUGUUAACCGUAGCAUAUUUGCAACAGCCAAGAUAUGGACAGCAUCUAAAGCACCUUAAAGUCCAUCAGUGAGUGAAUGGAUAAAGAUGAUGUGGAAUAAUGGAAAUACAUUUUGUAAUGUAUUACCCUAAAAAAAUUACCUUUUUACUAGUUAGUUAAAAAAAUUAAUUAUUUCAUUCAUUCACUUUUUCAAUAAGCACUGAAGUCCUAUUACAUGCCAGAUACCUUGCUUAGUGCUAGAUGUUUAAAGUCAAAUGAGACAGAAAUUGUUACAAUCUAGGGUUGAAGACAGACCAAGAAAACCAUCAAAACACCCCCCCCCCAAAACCAAAUAACAGAAAAAGUAAACCGAUAAACGANNNNNNNNNNNNNNNNNNNNNNNNNNNNNNNNNNNNNNNNNNNNNNNNNNNNNNNNNNNNNNNNNNNNNNNNNNNNNNNNNNNNNNNACCAGGCUCCUCCAUCCGUGGAAUUUUCUAGGCAAGAGUACUGGAGUGGGGUGCCAUUUAGGAAAGAAGUAGUAGCCAUGGUAGGCCACCCAGAGUAGUCAGAGAAGGCCAUCCUGAAGAGGAAUUUCAAGUGAGAGGCGCAGGAAAGACGGAAGCAGCAUGGGUGGGAAGCAUGUUCUGGGCAAAGGCAAUACCACAUACCUAAAGACUAGAGUUUGACUCAUUGGUGGGACUGAGGGAAGACCAAUGUGGCUAGAGAGCAGAGAGCUGGGAGGGUGUGGCAUGAGAUGAGACCAGAACAUGACCAGGGACCAGGUCUGCUGAAGAGUUUUAAGUAGAAGGGACACAUGAUCGGAUUAUGGUUUGCGACCAUCAGUCUGUGUGCUAGAGAAACAGGCUUCUUUUGCCUGUGACAGUCCUAGUUGAUUCCUGUCAUCCUGGCAUAAUUAUUACUAAUGCCCCUUUUCCUUCUGGAAAGUGACUUGGAUUAGAUGAUAAGUUAUUCAGCCAACUUAAGCAGAAGGGGAAACCAUGAAGAUGGCGAGACUAGUCAGGCAGUGGCUGCAGGAACCCAGGUGAGAAAUGGUGCUGGAGGUGCACAUGAGAGCAGACUGAUGGAUUACAGAGGAAAUCUGGAAAUAGAAUCGCAGGACUUGCUAGUGGAUCGGAUGUGGGGUAAAGGGAAGGGACGCAUCAAGCAUAUAUCUCAAUUUCUGGGCUGAGUAACAGAGGGAACAGUGAUGUCAUCUGCUGAAAUGGAGGUGAAAAGUUCUGGAGGCAGAUGAGAGUUCCCUUUGGGACAUGCUGAGUGUGAGAUCUCUGGAAGCCAUCCAAGCAGAGGUGUCUAGAGGUCAGUCGGAUAUUCAAGCACAGAGCUGGGAAACCAGGUUUCUGAGUGGGGGAGGUGUAAUUUUCAGAACCAUCAGUGUAUAGGUGCUAUUUCCUGCACUUGGAGAAAAUUUAGAGACAUAAACGGUGAGAGUCCUGGGGUGGGAAGGGGUAGGAGGUGGGAGGGAGGUUAAAGAGGGAGGGGACACAUGUAUACCUGUGGCUGACUCAUGGUGAUGAAUUGUGGAGGCCAACACAAUAUUGUGGAGCAAUUUUCCUUCAAUUAAAUAAGUUUGGGGGAAAAAAAGAGAGAGAAAAAAAAAAAACCUUAAAAAAAAUGAGAACCCAGAACCAAGUCUGAGGGACCCUUAGAGUUUAGGGAGAUGAAAAGACCCAGCUAAGGGGAUAAAGGAAAAUUAAAGGGAAAACAAAAGAAGGGUAUGGUAUUAUGAAGCCAAGAGAGAACCUUCCAGAAAGGAGGAAGAGGACAACUGUGCUGAGUGUGGCUCAGAGCCUUCCUGAUAUGAGACAGGAACUUGUCAACUGUCUUGGCACCACGGAGGUCAGCGGUGACCAGAGCUGUUUUGCUGAGUGGUGGGGACAGAGAUCAGGCUGGUGUGGGUUCUAGUGUGAGUCAGAAGAGAGGAAGCAAGAAGUGCAGAUGGGCAGACUCUCAAGUUUGACGAUAAAGAGGAAGAGGAAAAGGUGCCAGAGUGAAGAGUGACAUGGACUGAAGUCUGGGUUUUCAAUGUGGGAANNNNNNNNNNNNNNNNNNNNNNNNNNNNNNNNNNNNNNNNNNNNNNNNNNNNNNNNNNNNNNNNNNNNNNNNNNNNNNNNNNNNNNNNNNNNNNNNNNNGAAGAGUGACAUGGACUGAAGUCUGGGUUUUCAAUGUGGGAAUUUAUUAAGGAAUCAGAUAGAGAGGGUCUGGACUCUGAGGUGUGGCAUGUAUCAUGAGGAGCAAGCACGUUUUCCUCACUGAGCUGAAUGUCCCCAGGUGUCCUGUGCAGGACAAGAGCGCCCAGGAGCUGGGCGGAAGGGAAGCACUAACCAGGAAGUGCUUUCUCCGGCAACGUCCCUCCAGCACCCCAAACUGCAGAGAUUAGCACUGUGGCCAGCUGGCACCGGGGGUGUGUUCACAGGGUCCAGCUCCAGAAUGACAAGCCAGGCAAAGAAGGGUAGGUGUGGAGCUCAGAGUAAAUGAACACACACUUCUACUCUGAACGUGGGACUGAGGAGCUCUCCCGAGGGGAGAAGAUUAAUGAGAAAAUGAUCUCUAGAGAGGAAAGACAUGUUGAAUUUCCCUGUCAAGGAGGAAGAAAAAGUGUGGAUAUAAGGUAGUCACAAGAGCGCUUUCUCAUACAGGUCCCAUCAGAAGGCCUUGUCAGAGAUGUAGGUAGAUGAAGUUUAAGGAGGAUUAUGGCUGUAUCUCAGAAAAGUGAGUCUCUGACUAGACAAAGCAGGCGAAAGUUAACUGGGAUUAAGGAGAAUGUGGCUGCCCAUCAGCUGCUGAGAACAGGCUCAAAGAUCUGCUGAGUUUAGGGUUUCAAUGGUAGAGUCUGAAUGGACCCCAGGUUGUAAGCAGCCUUUUAUGAGAUUGUUCACUGUUAGAUUUCUAUCCCAGGUGCUGAAGGUCUAAAAUUUUCAAAAUGAGGGGAAAGAAAGGAAACAUUAGAGAAAGGAUGAUUGGCAAGUUUGGAUUAACAAGCUUUCCAAAUUUUUGUAAAAGGGAAAAAUACGUGUAUUAUUACUUGAGAUGAAAGUUGGAUGCAGAAGUCUAUUCACCAUUCUUUAAGAUUUUAGAUCAUUUUACUUCUUGGAAUCUGAAAAAUUCCUAAACAUCAAAUCUGAAAACAAAACGAACUGAACACCGAAACCAACGUUUUUAUCUGAGAAAGAAGUUUCUUGGUUUUGUAGGAAUAUAUGAUUUACAGAAUCACUCAUAAUUCCUGUGCUCUAACAGACCCAUGCAACCCACUCCAGGAUUCUUGCCUAGAGAAUCCCAUGGACAGAGGAGCNNNNNNNNNNNNNNNNNNNNNNNNNNNNNNNNNNNNNNNNNNNNNNNNNNNNNNNNNNNNNNNNACAGACCCAACUCCCUUCCAUUAGAGACAAUGUUUUCCUCAGUAAGAGGUAACUGCUGCUGGCUUCCCUGGGUUGAGAAAGGACCAGGAGGGGAAAAUGACUUCCUCUCAAGGACAUGAAUCAUAUCCAACACAAAAGCCGCCUGGCUCUGAAUUUUGAUGUUGUCACUAUUCCUCCACUUCUUGACACGUUUGUUGCUGGGAACGUGUAGAAGGCAAGGAAACAGAGGGAAGGGAGCAGCACUGGAGGCGGUUCCGGAGGCACAGACAGAGAGUGGCUCGUGGCUGGACUUGUAGGUGCUGCUGAG
rnacentral:lncRNA from 1 species